rnacentral:misc_RNA from 1 species
UGGAACUCACCCUUAACUAAGACCAUGGAGGUAGAAAAUUUUUGAAAGUAGACAACUGCAAUCAUGCCUGUCUGAUUACAAUUAAAUUUUCUGAGAACAAAGAAGAUUUAAAAUUUGUGUUUUUGGUCUUAAUGGAAAUUUUCACAUCCUAAAUAUGUGGGUGCGCCAGAAAAGGGGAGGCAAGGCAGAAAAUAAAGGCUCUGUUGCGUUGGCAUUUUUUUUUUGGUUUUCCUAUAAAGGCAACAUUAGGUGAGACAAUAGAAGGCAAUGUCUAUUUUGUUUUCUUUGUUAAUUUCUCUCAUCCUUUGUCAUGUGGAUUGAACUAUAUGUAACAAGUACACCUUUUUUUUUUAAUUAAUGUAUUUGUUGUUUAGCAAAAUCAAAAUUAUAGAAAGUACUUUUUAGGAAACAAAAAUAAAAAAGCAAGAAGUCAAACCAAAU